CGGGGCUGUGCCCCGGCCGUAAUGCAGCCCCCUGCCCGAUUGGGCCGGGGCCGGUCCCAAGCCCGGAAAAAUGCAGAGGGCGGA
rnacentral:ribozyme from 1 species